AAGAAGAUGGUUGAUGGGAAUCUUACGCGUCAGAAGGGUUGAGAAUCCUAGGAAGUAUUUGGGGAUUGGUGUUUGCGAGAUCAGUGAUAAAAGAGCUAUUCUAAAACAUCAUUGACAAGAUUCAAGCUAAAGUGGCACAUUGAAAGGCGAAGUGUCUUUCAUAAUGAGGUAGACUCACCCUCAUUAAAUCCACUUUCUUUACAUGUUCUGUUUUCAAAGCCUGUCGCUAUAUUUGUGAUGAGAUUGACCAGAUUUGAGAGCUUGCUAGUGGAGUCAUGGUACAU
rnacentral:lncRNA from 1 species